rnacentral:rRNA from 4 species
GGGUUGUGAGGUUAAGCGACUAAGCGUACACGGUGGAUGCCCUGGCAGUCAGAGGCGAUGAAGGGCGUGCUAAUCUGCGAUAAGCGCCGGUAAGGUGAUAUGAACCGUUAUAACCGGCGAUACCCGAAUGGGGAAACCCAGUGUGACUCGUCACACUAUCAUUAACUGAAUCCAUAGGUUAAUGAGGCGAACCGGGGGAACUGAAACAUCUAAGUACCCCGAGGAAAAGAAAUCAACCGAGAUUCCCCCAGUAGCGGCGAGCGAACGGGGAGGAGCCCAGAGCCUGAAUCAGCAUGUGUGUUAGUGGAAGCGUCUGGAAAGGCGCGCGAUACAGGGUGACAGCCCCGUACACAAAAGCGCAUGUGCUGUGAGCUCGAUGAGUAGGGCGGGACACGUGGUAUCCUGUCUGAAUAUGGGGGGACCAUCCUCCAAGGCUAAAUACUCCUGACUGACCGAUAGUGAACCAGUACCGUGAGGGAAAGGCGAAAAGAACCCCGGCGAGGGGAGUGAAAAAGAACCUGAAACCGUGUACGUACAAGCAGUGGGAGCACCCUUUGGGGUGUGACUGCGUACCUUUUGUAUAAUGGGUCAGCGACUUAUAUUCUGUAGCAAGGUUAACCGAAUAGGGGAGCCGGAGGGAAACCGAGUCUUAAUUGGGCGUUAAGUUGCAGGGUAUAGACCCGAAACCCGGUGAUCUAGCCAUGGGCAGGUUGAAGGUUGGGUAACACUAACUGGAGGACCGAACCGACUAAUGUUGAAAAAUUAGCGGAUGACCUGUGGCUGGGGGUGAAAGGCCAAUCAAACCGGGAGAUAGCUGGUUCUCCCCGAAAGCUAUUUAGGUAGCGCCUCGUGAAUUCAUCUCCGGGGGUAGAGCACUGUUUCGGCUAGGGGGCCAUCCCGGCUUACCAACCCGAUGCAAACUGCGAAUACCGGAGAAUGUUAUCACGGGAGACACACGGCGGGUGCUAACGUCCGUCGUGAAGAGGGAAACAACCCAGACCGCCAGCUAAGGUCCCAAAGUCAUGGUUAAGUGGGAAACGAUGUGGGAAGGCCCAGACAGCCAGGAUGUUGGCUUAGAAGCAGCCAUCAUUUAAAGAAAGCGUAAUAGCUCACUGGUCGAGUCGGCCUGCGCGGAAGAUGUAACGGGGCUAAACCAUGCACCGAAGCUGCGGCAGCGA